rnacentral:tRNA from 1 species
GCCGGAAUAGCUCAGUUGGUAGAGCAGGGGACUGAAAAUCCUCGUGUCACCAGUUCAAAUACUGGCCGUCGUUUU